AGCAGCAUGGCCUAGUGGCUAGAGCACAGGCCUGAGAGUCAGAGGGACCUGGGUUCUAAUCCUAGUUCUGCCA
rnacentral:tRNA from 1 species